rnacentral:rRNA from 1 species
CAGCAGCCGCGGGAAUACGUAGGUGGCAAGCGUUGUCCGAAAUUAUUGGGCGUAAAGCGCGCGCAGGUGGUUUAAUAAGUCUGAUGUGAAAGCCCACGGCUCAACCGUGGAGGGUCAUUGGAAACUGUUAAACUUGAGUGCAGGAGAGAAAAGUGGAAUUCCUAGUGUAGCGGUGAAAUGCGUAGAUAUCGGAAGGAACACCAGUGGCGAAGGCGGCUACCUGGACUGAGACUGACACUGAGGCGCGAGAGCGUGGGGAGCAAACAGGAUUAGAUACCCGUGUAGUCCCUGUCUCUUAUAA